rnacentral:snRNA from 1 species
AGCUUUGCGCAGUGGCAGUAUCGUAGCCAAUGAGGUUUAUCCGAGGCGCGAUUAUUGCUAAUUGAAAAUAAUGUUAUAAAACAUACAUAAAAAUUAGGGAAAAAUCAAUGAGAU